rnacentral:rRNA from 1 species
GGCUUAGAGUUUGAUCAUGGCUCAGGAUGAACGCUGGCGGCGUGCCUAACACAUGCAAGUCGAACGAAGCAUAUAAGACGGAUUACUUCGGUAAGAAGAUUUAUAUGACUGAGUGGCGGACGGGUGAGUAACGCGUGGAGAACCUGCCUCAUACAGGGGGAUAACAGUUAGAAAUGACUGCUAAUACCGCAUAAGACCCCAGCCCCGCAUGGGGGAGAGGUAAAAACUGAGGUGGUAUGAGAUGGCUCCGCGUCUGAUUAGCUAGUUGGUAGGGUAAAGGCCUACCAAGGCGACGAUCAGUAGCCGGCCUGAGAGGGUGAACGGCCACAUUGGGACUGAGACACGGCCCAAACUCCUACGGGAGGCAGCAGUGGGGGAUAUUGCACAAUGGGGGAAACCCUGAUGCAGCGACGCCGCGUGAAGGAUGAAGUAUUUCGGUAUGUAAACUUCUAUCAGCAGGGAAGAAAAUGACGGUACCUGACUAAGAAGCCCCGGCUAACUACGUGCCAGCAGCCGCGGUAAUACGUAGGGGGCAAGCGUUAUCCGGAUUUACUGGGUGUAAAGGGAGCGUAGACGGAGAGGCAAGUCUGAUGUGAAAGGCCGGGGCUCAACCCCGGGACUGCAUUGGAAACUGUUUAUCUAGAGUGUCGGAGAGGCAAGUGGAAUUCCCAGUGUAGCGGUGAAAUGCGUAGAUAUUAGGAGGAACACCAGUGGCGAAGGCGGCUUGCUGGACGAUGACUGACGUUGAGGCUCGAAAGCGUGGGGAGCAAACAGGAUUAGAUACCCUGGUAGUCCACGCCGUAAACGAUGACUACUAGGUGUCGGGGGGCAAAGCCCUCCGGUGCCGCAGCCAACGCAAUAAGUAGUC